UUUAAGUUCACUUUAAAAACUUUUUUACGCGUAAAAAAUGUCGUUUUCAAACUGGUUACAACUUUUAAAUGGGGGAUGGCAAUCCUGGGAUUACGUACAAAUUGUUCCGUAUAAUUUAUUUCAAUAGACGUUCUUGGUCAGAUGUCGAUCGUAAAUGGUUUUUGAUUAAUUUCAAAUUGCUAAAACUUCUUUCAGAUUUAUUAAUAAAUGUAGCUACGGGCGAAAGAAAUUGAAAAAACUUGAAAAUUGUUUCUUACAUUGGUAAUGUAAGAAACGAUCUUAAAGUUUUUUUAACGAUUAAAUCAACAUAUGUAUUUAGAUUCAAAUACAAAUAAACAGUUCAAU